GGUAUUGGAAAGGUGGUAACUGUCACAUGAGGGUCUCAGGACAGGCAGGGGAAAGGGAAGUGAUGAGAAGGAAUCUCUGACCAUCUAUCUUUAUUUUUUGAAUCUUUUGGUGUGAAUGCUUGACCUGAGCAGGUUUGAUCUCAAUGGAUACUGAAGCUGGACUGCUGCGCCUUCCAACUCUUGCAAUUUCUGGGGAAAGAGAGGGCAGCUGGGUUUAGAUGAAGAGGACAGAGGAACAGUAAAAAAAAAAGAAAUAUUUAACAUGGAGAAUCUCAAUUGCUGAGAAGAGCAGAGUUAAGGUGCUUCAUUGUUCACAUGCUAAAAACAUGCCAGAAGACAAUAUUGCUCUUUGCCUUCACUGUGGAUACAGAAUGACUAGAUUAGCUGAUGAAAUUCAGAUUUAGCUAUUUAGAAAAAGGUAUCUGCCUGCUUUGGUGACAAAACACUCAAGGAGACUCACAAACGAAAGACAUAGUGCUUCUUUCUGAAAACUGCAUGGGCCUCAUCUCUACUUUCAACACUAUUGUCUGUUACUACAGGAGAUCUGAUUUUUCUGCACCUCUUUCCAGCCAUGUCCAAUGAAAUUUGCAGAAGACUGAUAUCUUCUGCAGUGUUCUUGAUGCUAUGUGAUGUUCGGAUCCUACUGGGCUCUUUAAGUUGGAAUUUAAACUUUGGUUUCCUACAUUUUGGGAUGGUUCUCUUAAAUUACACUGUUGGCUUGAGAAAAUUUCCUAGAUUUUUUUAAGAACAUUCUUUUCUAGAAAGAAAAUUUCUUUUCCAUAAAAUCCAUGUUUAUUCACACAACCAAAAUGAGUAAAAUAUACAGACAGGGGGAUAGGGAGGGAGAGAGGGUGUAAAGAAUUCCCAACUAACAAAGAAGAACAGUUCUACUACUGACU